GCUCCGGUGGCCUAGUGGUUAGAGCAUCUGCCUCAGAUGUGGGAGGUCAUGGGUUCGAUCCGGGGUCGAGUCA